rnacentral:rRNA from 1 species
GAUGAACGCUGGCGGCGUGCCUAAUACAUGCCAGUCGAGCGAACGGACGAGAAGCUUGCUUCUCUGAUGUUAGCGGCGGACGGGUGAGUAACACGUGGAUAACCUACCUAUAAGACUGGGAUAACUUCGGGAAACCGGAGCUAAUACCGGAUGAUAUUUUGAACCGCAUGGUUCAAAAGUGAAAGACGGUCUUGCUGUCACUUAUAGAUGGAUCCGCGCUGCAUUAGCUAGUUGGUAAGGUAACGGCUUACCAAGGCAACGAUGCAUAGCCGACCUGAGAGGGGGAGCGGCCACACUGGAACUGAGACACGGUCCAGACUCCUACGGGAGGCAGCAGUAGGGAAUCUUCCGCAAUGGGCGAAAGCCUGACGGAGCAACGACGCGUGAGUGAUGAAGGUCUUCGGAUCGUAAAACUCUGUUAUUAGGGAAGAACAGAUGUGUAAGUAACUGUGCACAUCUUGACGGUACCUAAUCAGAAAGCCACGGCUAACUACGUG